GAUACCGGAGGGGAGCAGGGCUCCGCCGCCGGGCCUGUGCCCAUGGACCUAGGUGAGGACGGGCACUCCUUCCUCCGCGGCCAAAUGUUGCAUUUCCCAAGACCACCCUGGCCCGCCACGCCCCCAUCCUGUGCCUAUAAAAACUCCCGAGACCCUAGCGGGCACGGACACAAGCGGCUGGACGUGAAGAGGAACACACCGGCGGGGGAACACAGAACACCCACCCUCUCUUUAGUCACCCUGGAGGCCUCGGAGAAGGCGGUUUCAGUGAUCCGUGAAGAGACCCCGAGUCUUUUACAUCCCGGAGAAUGACAAGAGAGCGAGUACCUGGGCGACGUUUACGUUCUGGGAUUUCGGGAGAUGCGGUUUUCUGCACGCCAGGGGCCGAGCCUGAGACGUAGAUGGACGGCAGGGAUAGGAGCUCUCUCCGCGCCACAAACGCCCCUGCUCAUACCUGGGUUCCUUGAUUUUCCUGCCUAUAUAACCGAGCCUCCCAUGGCCGGGCUCUGAGCUCUCAUUCUGCGGACUGGGACAAAGGGGUUAACUGUGUUGUGCUUUGUAUAACCCCAGGAUUCUGCACUUGCCCAAGGGCGAGGCGCAAAUCAAAAACUACGCACAACUGAACACCGAGAUCAGGAUCCCGACUCAGAUUGAAAAAGCAGAGGAUGGUCACUGCCUUCCAGGUCUGAGGCUGUCUCCCAGAAACUUCAUUCCUCGCUUCGCCUUGGUAGGGAAGUUCCCGGAGGUGUUCGAAAAGCUGGAAACUUAAGCGGGACAUGGAACGAUAUUUGUGUCCAGGUUAUAAAAAUAGGCAGAAAAGACAAAUGUGGUGUGGGGGAAUGAGCUCAAGCGGUAGAGCGCUUGCUUAGCAUGCAAGAGGUAGCAGGAUCGACGCCUGCACUCUCCAGCUUCUUUUAAUCCCUAGGCUACCAAUGGUAUCUGGUAAAUACUUUCAGCGGAUUUACCGCUCUUUAUUUAACUCAGUUUCAUCUUGUUAUGUACAUCUUUUUUUUUUUUAAGGAAAUUAUACAUAGUAUUCCAUGCAAAAGCAAAAAAGGAAGCGAUUAGUCACAAGUGAGUUUUGCCAAUACAGGUUUUGGGGCUUCAGCUGGAAGUUAAUACAAUGUAUUUUUGUGGGGAAAUCAAACUUUAGCCUUUUGGGUACAAAAUAUGAGGAACAGCCUGGAAAUAGUGUCAGGAGGCAAAAGCAGGAGACUUGAAUGUGCCAACCUUUUGCUUUUAUUCACAUUGACAACACAUGGUCAGGUAGAGGAUGAAAACGUGUCUUCUAUCAGAUUAUCUGAGAGUUGGCCAGGCUCCCACCUUCACUUAUACUCCUUCCUUACCUCUCUCCUGUGUAGGUAAGAGAGGUAAGGAGAGAGGUAAGGAAGGAGUAUAAGUGAAGGUGGGAGCUAGCAUAUUAACUCUAGUGGUCGGAUACACUCUCACUAAGAAAAGUGACAUUUAUUCCUUCUAUUCAUCUCUCUGAAAGCUCGUUCUGACAAAAAUGUGCUCAAAAUAAAUGGGGACCUAGGUCUUCCUCUAAUUUCCAAGAUGAACCAAAAUGUAAAAAAAAUGUAUUUUUGAAAUUGCAACACUAUCCCCUAUUCAAAGAAACUACAUGAGGCGCUGUAUUAACAACACAUAUGUUGACUAGCUCAACUGGCCCAAGCAGAGCUCAGAAUGCUGGAGAGAGUGGUCUUUGGAUAGAUGACUCCAGGAAGCUCUUGUAGGUCCCUGGGACGUGCCCCUCUUUCCAUCCUUCUUUCUUUCCCAUCACUCAAAUCUCUCUCUGACACCAUUUGACUUCUCAGCAUUGCCCUUUGUUAAUCGUAAUAGAAAGACAAUGUUAUUGAUUACAUGUUUUUCUAUUUUAUCUUCUUAUUCAUAAAUGAUCUCAAAAAUGAAUGUCAUAAAUAAUAAACGUGUUGUUGAAUUUUUGUCCCGUAGGAGCAGCCUCUUUCAUUCUCAGGAUGUGCACUCCUGAUAAACUGGGACCGUGAAGGAGGGACCUGAAGCUGCCCCAAACCACCUGCAGUUCCAUGAAGACCAUGCCUCCACCCACUAAUCACUCUGAAAGUAGUGCCCCUCCACUCUUCCCCAACCACAUUUCCUUUUCAGGCAAAAACAUUUCUAUGGGUUUGUUAGACCCUAGCUUCUAAUCCUUUCUUCAGUCUUUACCGAUCUGAAGCCACUCUCUCCUUUGAGGCUUCUAAAUUAUCUGUUAUAGCCUUUCUCCAUUCAGCAAAUUUUCAUCAGGCAAAAAUCCUACUUGACGCUAGUUAUACUCAGAGUAAAAUAACUAUGUUCCUGUCUUAAAUGAGAAUUCUUCACAGGUGGAAAGCAGAUUUGGAAUCCACUACAACUCCAAGGCAGUGGAGCUAAUGUAGCCUCCCCUGGGCUACAGGGGAAGCCUUCUUCUGUGGGCCCGGGAAUUGAAGAACUAGACAGGCAUAAGAAGGACAAGUGUGGUGCCCAGUGGAGCAAGAGAAGGGGGGAGGAAGGUGACAGGGAAGGGAAAUGGCAGGAGAAGCACCUACACAGCAGACACGGUAUAGCCUGCAUCUGUUUUUCCUUUUGGCUGAGAGAUCCCUGAGCUCUGUGGUGGCAAUUUUCCAUAAUUUUUCAUAUAAAACAAUGAAGAUUAUAAACUACUUCUAGGCAUUUUACCUGCAUUACUAUUAAUAUGUGUACAGCAUCUAAAAUAGGGCCUAGACGGCAAUUGCACAGUACUAUUACUUGCUAUUGUUGUGGCACUUUCUAUGUGGAUCACUGGCCUCAUCCACUGUGCCUGGUGCUGAAGAAGUGCUUCAGGAAUGAAUCCACAGAUUGAGAUGAAAAUUCUCAAGCUUUCUCUUUCUCAACUCCUCCAAGGUUCUCCAUCACUUUCUGAGUCCUACAGGAGGAAAGUGCUAUUGAAGAUGCGGCGCGUAUGGCGUGAGGUUCUGGGGCUGGGAGAAGCUGCCCCACUACUUCCGGGCGGCCUUGCCUGCAGGGAGCAGGUGAGGAUCACAGCUCUAGAGCGGGCUGGAAUAGCUGUGCCCGCAAGCCAGGCAGUUCCGGGUGGUGCUUCUCCAACUGGAACGUGCUCUCUACUUCCGAGAGAUGAAGAAGGCGAAAUUGGGAAGUGAGGAGAGAGGUCUCCCUCAUGACCUAUUUUGGAAAUCCGUAUUCUUCACACUCUCAGGCUCGUAGAACUUUGCCCAAGGCAGUAUCUGAGAAGCUCCGGCCUCAAUCUUGUCCUGCCAGGGAUUUGGCGGCCCAAAGUACCGGCAGGCUCCUGAUAACCAGGAAAAUGGGUGGGGUGUGGUGUAUCCUCAGUGGGGAAUUAGCUCAGGCGGUAGAGCGCUCGCUUAGCAUGCGAGAGGUGGCGGGAUCAACGCCCGCAUUCUCCCGGUUUAUGUCUCUUGGUUUGUAUACCCGCUUCUUUCUCCUGUUGACAACGGCGGCGCUUCUUACCUGGGAGAAGAUCAGAGGAACCUGCUCCCUCCCCCCGAUCACGUGCUUUACUGCUCCCCAGUUCACAACCUAGUGCUGUCCACUUGCAUGGGAUGUUUCUUUUCCAUCACAAUGCUCUGGGAUAACUAAGUCAAGGGAAGUUUGUGCAGCCCUCCAGACCCUCCAGAUUUCAAAGGAAAGCCCACCGCUGCUGGUCUGGGGGAGCUGAUGGCCUACUCAUGGAUGAGAUGGACUAAGGACAGCGGGAAGCACAAUGGACCAACAGCAUUGUUGGAGGGGACUGCGUGAGGAAGCAGGAGCCUAAACAACACUCUCCAGAUACUGCGUGAACACUGUCUCCAGAGGGGUCUUGUAGCAUCAAAAAUUAAAGCUAAAUGUUGA